AUGUUUAGAUUUUUUUUUGUUUCAUGGGAAUGCUUUAUCCUUUUUCCGGUAUGCAAGGAAGAUAUGUCCCACAACUAUGAGGUGUGCCUGGGAGCAUGUGCUCGCUUUUCAAAUUAUUACUUUUCAUUCUUCAAAACAAAACUCACAUGCCAAUGUCCCAGGGUUAUUCAAGAUUUCAAGUUUUGUGAAAACUGUAAAUUAUUUGGUGGUGUGAAGAAAAUAGCAAGCACAGACACUUUUACAGCUAACUCUAAUAUCCAGUUAUCUACACAUCAUAUUAUUAUUAUUAUUAUUAUUAUUAUUAUUAUUAUUAUUAUUAUUAUUAUUUGGGGGCGGGGGUGGGGGGGGGUGCGUUUUCAAACCUUUGAAUUCUAA
rnacentral:rRNA from 1 species